ACGAUAGAUUUCUUAGAGCUACUGCCAAACCACCCAAGCAGGAAGGAAUAGAACCAGAGAGCCGAUUAUGACCCAAACCUAACUCGGCUAGGUUGGUUAGUUGACAGAGUUCAUACGGGAUAUGUCCUUGCAGUUUGUUAUCAUACAGAAACAAACCUUGGAGAUUUUUUAGCCUCUGUAUUGAUGUUGGAAUUGCUCCACUCAACUGAUUGAUUUCCAGAUGUAGUUCUAUCAAGCUGCUCAAGUUGGCAAUAUCAACGGGAAUGUUACCCCUGAUGUUGGAAAUGCUUAAAUCAAAAUAUGUGAGUGGCGUAGAGAGAUUCCCACGAAAAGCUGGAAUCGUGGUGUUUAAUGGAUUACCUCCCAAGUCUAAUUUUGUCAAAUUUCUAAGAUUAAACAAGCAAGAGAGAGUAGAAGCAUCAAUCGUCAAAUGAUUCCAGAACAAGAAAAGAAGCUCGAGGUUUUUCAAGGAACAGAGCGUGCUAGGAAGAAACCCGGUAAAUGAGUUUGUGUCCAUGGCUAGGACCCUGAGCUUGGAAGCAUUGGAGAAGUUAGGGAGUGUCCCGGCCACGAGGUUAUUGGAGGAUACAGAAAAGAAUUCUAGGUUUGGAACAUUAAGACCUAUGUUUGCUGGGAGGCCACCUGAGAGCUGAUUUAAAGUAAGCGAUAUUACUCUAAUCAUGGAGUUAUUGAAGAGCUUGGAUGGGAUGACACCAUUGAGAUUAUUAGCACCCAAUCUCAAAACCUCUAACUGCGGAAGAUCACCAAUCUCAUCCGGUAUUGUACCUAUCACAAUGUCAGCACGUUUGCAUUAACUUUGUAACUUCGGUUUAUCUAAAAACUAAAAACGAAAUGAUUGUAAAACGCCCCCAAAUUUAUUACCUGUUAAAUUAUUGAAACGAAGAAAAAUCUCGGUUAAGUAGGUCAAAUUGCCAAGACUUUUGGGUAUGCUCCCACGGAAAUUGUUAGACUCUAAUGCAAUUACACGAAGCUCUUUGCAUUGCCACAGUUUGGAGGGAAUCAGACCGUCAAACUGGUUUUGAUUCAAAGAAAAUCGUUGAAUACUCGAAAGAUGCUCACACAUAUUGUCCGGAAGAAUACCACUCAUGUUGUUUCCGGAUAAAGCCAAAGUAGUCAAAGAAGAUAUGUUAAGGACAGGCACAAAAGCAGAGCCUUUAGGGCAUUGUCCUGCACAAACAACUCCUCCAACUGACCUAAACUGCCUAUCUCGUUCGGAAGUUCUAUAAAAUCAAUCCGUGUAUAUUGUUAAAAUCAUGUAUACAUAUAUAGGAGCAGCUUCUUAUUGGGAAUCCCGUUGUACCAUAGCAAAAGUGGGAUACAUUCUAAGGACCAUGUACUCACCAUAUAGGACCUCUUUUUUGCUCUAGAAUACGAGGGUCUUACACGGUCAAUAUACGAUCCUACAAUAGUCCUCUCAUCUCAUUUUUUGCCGAAGUUGAACAAGAUCCCAGCUAAGAAGGGGCUUGUGUUUAUGUGUGUGUGUGUGUGUUUGUAUAUAUAUGUAACAAAACCUCAGUCAUACAGUAUACCUUCGAACUUGUUGUCGUCAAGGUAUAUGCCCUUCACCAUUGUUAAGUUGCCUAUUUCUCUGGGUAUACUACCUGUUAAAUAUGUGCAUGCAUUCCAACAAAAAAGAAGGAAAAAAAAAAACAAACGAGAUGAUUGUUAUACAUCUUAUAUAUAGAGGUUAAAAUGAAACAAAGAUGUUAAAAUGUAAUGAUGAAGCAAGCAACAUUAAUUUAUAUUCCUAGGUAGUUGGUAAUGGUGGUAUGUACGUACCCGAUAGUUGGUUCCUCAUCAGGUAAAUGUUUUCGAGUGCAGAUAAGUUGAAGAUAGCAGCGGGUAUGAAACCAGAGAAGUCAUUAUCGUACAAUUUGAUGGUUUGAAGUUUAGCAAAGGACCCAAACCACAAAGGAAUGGUUCCCAUAAAGCUGUUGUUUCCAAAGUUAAUCGCCUUCAACCGGCGCAAACGAGACAGUUCUUGCGGUAGGGGACCAUGAAAACUAUUAUUCUGAAGGCCCAACUCAACGAGAAAUGAGAGGUUGCCAAGAUGCGGAGGAAUAACUCCGGCAAGACCCAUGUAAGGGAGAUUUAAGGCCGUGACUCUGUGGUGGCGAGCACCGCAGGUAACGCCAACCCAGUUGCAAAUGUUGGAAUUGGAGGCAGAGGACCAGUUGGCGGUCAAGAUGUUUUGAGGGUCACUAGUGAUGUGAGCCUUGAGAGCAAGAAGCGCAGAUUGAUCUGUGCUGAAAUUGGUAUGAGCUAUUGCUAAUGCUCCUGCAGUUAAGUAAUUAGCCACAAUCAUCAUAUAGAUAUAACACAAGCAUUGUAUCAUCGACAACAUCUUUGAUAGUAGGAAACGACUUCUCUCCUUAAUUGUAGUAGUUUUCGUCUUUCGGUAUAAAUUCGAUCGAAAACUAGAACUCAUUACAUUCACAUAAAUAGGGAAACAAGUUGGUGUUACCAAGACUUGUGAACGACUUUUGUACUGGUUUGAUACUGAGGUGCUUUUAUAAAAAAUGGGUAUAAAAAAAAAAGAUGAGCUCAAAAAGGUGUUUGGUAAACACUUAAAAACAGUUUAUUUUCACAGUUUUGGGUGAAAAAAAAUUAAAAGCGUGAAGCAGCAAAAAUAAGCUUAUUCUCACAGCACAACAUAAACAGUUUUUUUUUUCAAAGCACAGCAAUACCAAACCAGCCCUUAGACUUGCCCGGCUUCUAUGUCAAGGUGAGGAGACUUUAGAUUUUUUAACAUAUCAAACACACACCAUUCAUUUUUUGCUGAUGGCGUAGGUAGGUGAGGAGGAAUGGUGACUGCGAUGUAAGAGAGAUUCAAGGCCACGACUUGAAUGUGGCAUACCAACCCAGUUGCAACUUUCAAGUGAGCAAUCAAUGCUAAGGAUGUUUUGGUCUGUGGUGGUGAUAUUUGGUAAUUCGCUGAUAGGUUAGCUAGGUGAGGAGGUCUAGUCUAAGUCCGACUUUUUUGUCGAAGUGAGGACUUAGAAUAGUGGAACGAAGGCUUGUGAUUUGGUAAUUGGUGCUGCCAGCCGACGAGUUCUGUCCAUUUUGUGGGCAUAGCUGGAGAUGCCCAAAUGUGGAAUUUUAGUCUUCAGUUCACCAUCAAAACAAACAAUACCAUAAAUUUCAAGAUUGAUAUUUAAUGAUGACAUACAUUUUGAUUCAAAUGCAAAUGCAAAUGCGACCAAACACAUGACAGUUACAUUCUUCCGGAUGAAAUGUUUUCGACGACGUUUACAUAUAAUCAAGCUCUAGUUGAACACUCUUCGGAUUCGAAAAUCAUCUAAACUUGGCUAAUUAGUCAAGAAUUACGGUCUUAUGCUUCUAAAUUAUUAAUCACGAUCGCAUGUAUAAAUUCAUUGCAGCAAUAACGAAGAAGGGAAGUAACAACCAGAGAUUGAAAACUAGUUCAGAUACGUACAUUCACUAUCAUGCAGACUUGCCAUUGGAGACAGCUCUGAAUAUGCAAAGGUUUUUUAUAGGAAAAAUUAGUAUCCGGUCCCUAGUUCUUACUGUUCAUUGAUUAAGACCUUAUUAGUUCUCAAAUUUUGAUUCAAGUCCCUAGCAAUAAUGUGAUAAUGAAUUUACAUGUUUAUUAUAUAAUUUUUUAAUAUAAAAAUUAGUAAUUAAUUUAGGGUUUAAUACUCACACCUCUAUUAAACUUCUAAUUAAUUUUCAAUUCAAACAUUUCCAAAAUAAUAAAAAAUUAAAUUAAAUUAAGUUUGUACCUAUUACUUUAUAUAUAUAUAUAUAUAUAUAUAUAUAAAGAUUCUCAAUUUUUUAAUCUUAAAUGUACCCAUUCAUAUAAUUUUUCAAUUUUUUUAAUCUUAAAUGUACCCAUUCUCAAAUACAUCAAUUUGUUAUAUGUAAAAUGUACCCUUUUUUUUAAUAUAAAAUCCAUUCAAAUUUUUUAAUCCAUGUUUAAACUUAUAUGGGUACAUUCUUUUUCGUUGAUUUGAGAAUGUAUCCAUGUUUUGAUACAAUAACUUUUUUUGUUAAUUUUGGUUAAUGUACCCAUACAUAUAUGUACACACACAAUAUAAUAGAGGGUAUAAUUUAUAUUUUAUUAUUUUUAAUCCCAUAAAUUAUGGGUUUUAUUUAAAAUCUCAUUAAUAUAAACAAUUACAAAUUUCAAUUUUUAAUUUUUAAUUUAAAACAUAUAGUAACUUACAUUAUUAUAUUAAUGUCAGGACCUCAAUCAAAAACUAAAAACUAACAAGGUUUCAAUUAAAAAAUAUUGAUAGCUAGGGAACGCAUCCAAAGUGUCCAUUUUUUAUAUGACUUCAACAAGAGAGGACAUACCAUGCUUAGAGAUGAAGCAGGCCUGCACCUGCAAGCCACGGUGGUAAUCGAAUUCCAGUGAAAGGGAACAAAACUCCAGCCGCCACCGGCAUGCUGAGGAUAUUGUAGCCCAGGGCCCAGACAUAAUUCAAUCGAAUUUGAGACAUGGUCUUUCUAGAGAGAUCAAUGGCUGUAACUACAUCUUCCAAGUUGCUCUUCCUCAGAACUAUAAGCAGCUUCUAUAACUACGUCGGUGCCCGCACCAAUUGCCAUACCAACAUGUCCUGCAACCAUUGCCGGAGAGUCAUUAAUUCAAUCUCCCAUCAUUGCCACCACCAUUCCUUUCAUCUGCAUCCAAAUCCACUUUAACAAGUCAGAAAACACUAUGUAAGAUAGAUAACUCACAUAUCAAGUCAGAAACAAACUUAAUAUAGAAAAAUGAGUUUGAAGAUUGUUUGCAAGGUUUAGCAAGGUUUUAAAUGAAAUAGGAAUAGGGCCUUCUAAAUGAUUGUUUGCCAAGGAGAAAUCAAUCAUAUUCUGAAGACCCCCAAUGCCACCGGGAAUGCUUCCGGAGAAAUGGUUAUUUGAUAAAUCCAUAUCCACCACAUCCUUCAACUUUCCGAUGUCUUCUGAGAGUGGUCCAACCAGAGAAUUGGAUGACAAGUUUAGGUGCAAUAUAUACUUGAGUUCCCACAAGGAAGAUGGUAUUUUAGAAGUUAACAAAUUGGACCCUAACGGUAGAAAUCUUAGAGCUACUGCCGAAGUACCCAAGCAGGAAGGAAUAGAACCAGAGAGCCGAUUACCAUCCAAACGUAACUCGGCUAGGUUGUUUAGUUGACAGAGUUCAUACGGGAUAUGUCCUCCCAGUUCGUUAUCAUACAAAUACAAACCUUGGAGAUUUUUUAGCCUUUGUAUUGAAGUUGGAAUUGCUCCACUCAACUGAUUGUUUCCCAGGCUUAAUGAUAUCAAGCUGCUCAAGUUGCCAAUAUCAACUGGAAUGUUACCCCUGAUGUU
rnacentral:lncRNA from 1 species